AUUGAACGCUGGCGGCAGGCUUAACACAUGCAAGUCGAGCGAGCGGCGGACGGGUGAGUAAUGUAUGGGAAACUGCCUGAUGGAGGGGGAUAACUACUGGAAACGGUAGAUAAUACCGCAUACCAUCAGAUGUGCCCAGCUGGGAUUAGCUAUUAGGUGGGGUAAUGGCUCACCUAGGCGACGAUCCCUAGCUGGUCUGAGCGGAGGACCAGACACACUGGAACUGAUACACGGUCCAGACUCCUACGGGAGGCAGCAGUGGGGAAUAUUGCAGAAUGGCCGCAAUCCAGAUGCAGCCAUGCCGCGUGUGUGAAGAAGGCCUUCGGGUUGUAAAGCACUUUCAGCGAGGAGGCGUUACUCGCAGAAGAAGCACCGGCUAACUCCGUGCCAGCAGCCGCGGUAAUAC
rnacentral:rRNA from 1 species